AUGUAGAGAGAGGUAUGUAACUGCAGUUGGAUGGUGGAAAGUAUGGUCAGCCCAGCCUGCCAUACAUGGAAGCAGCCCAUAAGCAGAAGUCUUAAAGCAGGGUGGGGUGAUGCUUUCUCCAAGGACUCGAGGCAUUGUGAGGGCACUGGGUUGAAAGAUAAUCUCUGCACUGCAUUGUGCAGGAAUAGGAAGUUUCUUGGGGGGAGUGUGAUCCACAGGGAGCUUCUUGGCUCAGCACCAGUUCUGGACUAUAAUUGCAUG